rnacentral:rRNA from 1 species
UUUGAUCAUGGCUCAAAACGAACGUUGGCGGCGUGGAUUCGGUUUGCAAGUCGUACAAGCUUCAUCUGGGCAACUGGGUGAAGAAAGUGGCGAAAGGGGCAGUAAGGCAUGGAUAAUCUACCCUGAUGACCGGGAUAGCUGUCCCAACGGGCAGGUAAUACCGGAUGUGCUGGUGGGGCCGCAUGGUUCUGCCAGGAAAGGCGCAAGCCGUGUCGGGAGGAAUCCAUGUGAUAUUAGCUAGUUGGUGAGGUAACGGCUCACCAAGGCGAAAAUGUCUAGCGGGUGUGAGAGCACGACCCGCGCCAUUGGCACUGAAACACUGGCCAGACUCCUACGGGAGGCUGCAGUCAAGGAUCUUCGGCAAUGGGCGCAAGCCUGACCGAGCGACGCCGCGUGAGCGAUGAAGGCCAUUAGGUUGUAAAGCUCUGUCGAGGGGGAACAAGCCGCAAGGUUGAGUGAUCCCUGGAGGAAGCACGGGCUAAGUUCGUG